rnacentral:rRNA from 1 species
GUGGGGAAUAUUGGACAAUGGGCGAAAGCCUGAUCCAGCCAUGCCGCGUGUGUGAAGAAGGUCUUCGGAUUGUAAAGCACUUUAAGUUGGGAGGAAGGGCAGUAAGUUAAUACCUUGCUGUUUUGACGUUACCGACAGAAUAAGCACCGGCUAACUUCGUGCCAGCAGCCGCGGUAAUACGAAGGGUGCAAGCGUUAAUCGGAAUUACUGGGCGUAAAGCGCGCGUAGGUGGUUCAGCAAGUUGGAGGUGAAAUCCCCGGGCUCAACCUGGGAACUGCCUCCAAAACUACUGAGCUAGAGUACGGUAGAGGGUAGUGGAAUUUCCUGUGUAGCGGUGAAAUGCGUAGAUAUAGGAAGGAACACCAGUGGCGAAGGCGACUACCUGGACUGAUACUGACACUGAGGUGCGAAAGCGUGGGGAGCAAACAGGAUUAGAUACCCUUGUAGUCC